CCACAAGGAGCCGGAAGAAGCCAAGGUGACAUUGCUGCUUUAUCUCUUUCAGCACAACCCCAACAGCGUCGCUGGCGUUUCUCACACGAGCUAAACCCUGUAAAAGUAGGAAAAGGCACAGAACUCAGAGGAUCUGGCUGAAGGAACCAAGCAUCAAAGACAUGGGAGGUUUCAAAUUCUGAUUUUUGCUUCCCCUCCAAGUCCUCUCACAACUUCCAGAUCCAUCCCAUCUUCCACAGUGGUUUUUGUAGCCACUUUGUUGGUAAGGAAAUGCUUUCCGUUUCCCAGAACUUGUUUCUCAAAGUUCUUUCCAAGCAAUUUGUUCCAUGAACACAACGAUGGAGACUUUGAACAAAAGAUCUGCUCCAGGACAAAGUACCUGCUGCUGGAAGCGAUGGGGCAGUCCGUGUGGAAACACAGCCUUCACCUCCUCAAGUGGGAUGGUGUAGUGGCGACCCUCGUGGUGCUCAGCGUGGUUGGCCUGGAAAGGGCAGCGUUAUCUAUGGACUCAGACAGAGUAGCAGUGCUCCGGAGACCACUUUCAUUCUCAGUUUCACCACUGACUUGCUGCAUAACCUUGGGCACAUUCCUUCGCUCUUCAGCUCCUGUGUCUGUAAGUGUAGAAUGGAUUUCAGAGCAUGUUUCCAUCUGCCAAAAGACAGAGCAGUCUAACGUGAAUCCCUGAAAUGGCAGCGAACCAUCACGUGGUGCACGGAGAUUAAUCACAAAGUCAUGUGCCGUAAGGUGGAGCUGUUCCUACACAAUUCAGCGCAUCUUUGUCUCCAGAAAAGGCUGCUUAUUUCAUCAAGGCUGACAUCAACUGGACACCAUCCUCCAGAUGACAUCUCCCCAGAGAGGAGCAGAAUCCCCUCCCUCCCUGCUGGCCACGCUUCUCUGGAUGCAGCCCAGGACACGGUUGGUUUCUGGGCUGCGAGCGCACGUUGCCAGCUCACAUCGAGCUUUUCAUCAACCAGCACCCCAAGUCCUCCUCUUCAGAGCUGCUCUCAAGCACAUCAUGCCCCAUCCUGAUUGAAACUGGGGAUUGCCCCAACCCAGGAGUAGGACUUUGCACUUGGCUUUGUUGAACCUCCUGAGGUUCGCACAGCCCUGCUUCUCCAGCUUGUCCGGGUCCUUCUGGAUUACAUCAUGUCUUUGGUGAUAGAAUUCUUUAACACGAGUGGUGAGGGCUCUUUGAUAGGGUUUGUCGAGAAGAGCUUUAGCAGAGGAGAUUAAAACUGCUGCCACUUGGCAGAUCUGUGCUUGGAUCAAGAACCAUCCGAAUCUGCAGGCUGUCAGCAAAAUCCUUGCCUGCCCAUGGUCCUCAGGAAAGACUUUAUAGAUGGGGAAUAUAAUUUGCUAGUGAAAUUAUGCAAAAAACCCUGCUGACAUCAGGAAGGGAUCUGAACCUGCCGCGUCUCUGGAUUAAAUGAAAGACAAAUCCCUGCUUCCUUGCCUUCUGGAUUUCCUGCUGCCUGAAGCCAGAACCACAGGGACGGACCACGGAGACAACUCCAAGCUGAGCCUGGUGCUGUGGGGACACGGUCCCCCAGUUUGCCUCCACCUUGCUCCGUGAUUUGUCUCUUUUUCUGUACUCAGGGCUCGGAUCACAAAGAGGCACAAUCAAUAUCAACUGUUAUCGCUCCCAUUGAGCUACAAAUGGGGGCAUUUAUAAACCGGGAAAGCUGAAAUCCUCUUAAUAAAACCUGCAAAAGGCUUCUCUGGGGCAUCUGCAGCUCCUGGGCCGGUACCGGGGGCUUCUCUGGGGCAUCUGCGGCUCCUGGGCCGGUACCGGGGGCUCCUCUGGGGCAUCUGCGGCUCCUGGGCCGGUACCGGGGGCUCCUCUGGGGCAUCUGCGGCUCCUGGGCCGGUACCGGGGGCUCCUCUGGGGCAUCUGCGGCUCCUGGGCCGGUACCGGGGGCUCCUCCGGGACAUCUGCGGCUACUAAGCCGGUACCGGAGGCUCCUCCGGGACAUCUGCGGCUACUAAGCCGGUACCGGGGCUGCCCUCGGGGCAUCUGGUCGCCCUGGGCCGGUACCGGGAGCUGCCCCUGAGGUAUCCGCUGCCCCCAAGAUCACAUCCACCGCCCGCCGCUACUCUUCUCCCACACCCCCAGGCCUGUACCGGGCGCUACCCCAGGCCCG